rnacentral:lncRNA from 1 species
UUUUUUUUUCUUUUUUUUUUUUAAUGAACCAAUGACUUUCUCAGGCAGAAAGAUUUGCAUCCAUGCAGAGGAAAUAGACAGGGCCAGUAAUUACAAAGCAAAAAGCAUCUGUAACUUGCAGAAAGCCAACGUAUGAAUAAGUGUUUCUAGCCAGAUAGAGGGCAAUUAUCUGGUUAUCUGUUUUUCAUAUUUCUAUCGGAGAUAAAAUCAUCUUUAGGGAAAUUUGUGGAGGGCCAUAUGAAAGAAAGUUUCCCUCUUUUGUAGAAAAGAAUUCUCUUAAAAAUUAAAACAAGUUUGGGAGGCUGGGUGAUGGAGUUUUGAGAAUUUAAAAGAGUGAGGAAGAUUGGGGGGGGCGGCGCUGGGAAGCAACUAUUUCCAGCUGCGAGAAAUCUAGCACCCUCACAGCAAGGUGCGGUGGCUCUGAUGCAAGCAACAUUCCCAUAGAUACAGGCUGCCUGGUUUUCUGUUGCUCAUUCUAAGGUGAAGAGAGGCUCAAGUCUGAUUUGGGGCUUUGACACUGAAAAAAGGUGUGAACUUCGAUCCAUUUAACCAGCCCCCUGCCCCACCUCAUCCCUUCUCCUAUCCAGUUUGCUUUCAGUGGGUCAAGAAUAAAUAUUCACCCUUGGCAUCCAUCUGCAAAUUCCAAGAGGGACUGAAGGAAGAACUUAAAGUUCCUCUGCAUGCGUUUCCAAAGCCCAGCUGGCACAGAAAACAAAUGAUACAAAAUAUGGCGGAGAAAGCACAGCCUAUCUUUGUCACCAGGUCUGGCAGAUACGGCUCUGGGCUCACAAGACAUCUGCUCCCAGCCACCUUCCUCUCUGCUUCCCUCCACUCUCCAGGCUGGAAAGUGACAAUUCCAUUGUCCUCAGUUCCCUCCAGCCAGAGGCUUGUGACCUCGUUGUGGCCUAAGCAAUAUAUCAGCAAAAGUUAGCAGAGAAGGGCUUCCCUUCCUGAAUAACAAUACCAGGCCCCACAAAAAGGAGUUGAGGCCUCCCAUGUCCUUUCUGCCUGGACAGAUCAGAGGUGCAGGCCAUCGCUCCCUGGCCUCAGCAUGGUGGGCCCAAAACAUAGGAGUGUCCUGCACCCCACUGUAUCAGCCUGGACUGCUCACUUCAGAACUCCUGUGCACCACACAGACCAGUGCCCGUCUGCUCAAGCCACCGUGCUCAGCUUUUCCCUGUGGGCAGUCAAACAUAAUUUUCAUGGGUAAACCUGAGCAAGAGCUUUACUCUCUUUCUGUCAUUGCAAUAAAAUACAUCAUUUCUGUCAUGUUUCGGAUUUAGUGUUUAUUCCUCCACCUUGGCUCCUUUCUGGCAUCAUUACUCAGUGUCAUUGCAAGAUGGGGGAGGGAGAGAAAGAGAGAGAUUCAGAGAGCCAAGAGAGCACAGGACGUGUCUCCCCAGCAAAGAGUGAAGCCUGUGCAAGAGAGAGGAUUGUGUCUGAGCUUAUUCUCCCAGCAUGUUGAAGACGACAGGAGGUUUUGAGCCCUGUUUUGUGUUCAGGAGCCAGCCUGUGGUCUCUUAAAGCACUCCCUGAUUGUGUUCAUGGUCAGCAAAGAUCUCAAAGGAAAUGCUCCCUUUUUACCCCUCCAGGACAUCCUAGUUAUUAUAUUUUUUGAGGAGGAAAAGGCCAAAAAAGACAUAACUCUUCGGCUUGGCUGGAGGCUUAGCGAAAAGGCUAAAGAAGGGGACUAGUGGCAUCUGACGGGGAGGAGCAGAGCAGGCCGAGAAACAAGAGUUGCAGAAAAAGUGUUUUGUACAUUGUAAUGUCUAUUCAGGCACCAGAGUAGCUUCUGAAGAUUUCUUGAAAAAUGGGAGUUGGAGAAAACAAUUGCAAAAAUGAGGGAAAGUAUCUUGUAUGUGUGAAAUGAUAGGAGAACUAUUUUCAAACAAAAAACAAAAUAUUUUUAAGUGGCUUUGUGUUGUUAAGAAGAUUUGUGAUGUGUUUUAUGGUACCUCUUUCCGAUGCAUGUAAAGAUUUCCAACAGGAACUUGGUAAUUUGGAUGCAAGCUUGUCUAGAAUAUUAUUAGCCCAUUUUGCAGAACUCAGAUGAGACACAAAGACAUCUAUUGACUCAUCUAGGUCACUAGGAAGUUACCUGAGAAACUGAAAAUUUGCUUGAGUUUCCUGUGUGGGCCUCCUCCGCUGCCUCCAACAAGACAAGCCAUCAAAGCUACUUUCAUGUCUGGGCUUUGACAAAGAACAUGAUCAAAAGUGUCCCCAAGGAGCAGGGGAAACGGGAGUCUCUCAGAGGCCCAGAGAACCUGCUCAUAGUUACACAGGAAAAAUGGCUUUUUCCUUAAGGAUAGCCUUGGAGAAAAUAAAGCUACACCAGCAGUCUCAAUGAAGAGACACAUCUCUGUUGUCCUUGUGUGUUCAGACCAAAGACUUUAGCAUGACAUCGUGCCCCAAGUAGCCUCCGUAUUUAAAAUCAAAACUUGUUAAGUUGAAUUUCCUAAAGGGCUCUUGCUCUUUUUCCACAAGGAAGGAAGGCUGACCUGCUGUUGAAAAGCCCUUAGGGUGAGUUACCCACCACCAUCCAUGCCCAUGUGGGAUCCUGCGGCUCUAACUUUGCCCAGGCUGUACUCUCAGCCUAGAUCACUCUUCCUUCUUUUCUUUGUUCGCACCUUCCCCUCCUCCAACUCCUGUGCCCCUCUCUCCAGCGAGCCUCCCGUAAUGUCCUCCAGGGCAUUGUGACCUCUUCCUCCCCAGAGCAGACAGGGGUUGACUGGCUGCCAUCUUAGAUAACUGAACAUUGAUAGCCACCGUUCAGAUUUAUUGCUUGCUUUAUAUGGCUGGGCAAAGCACCUUACACAGAUUAAUUUGGUCCACACAGCUACCUUAAUAACAGGUACUAUUGCUACCCUUACUCUGCAGAUGAGGAAACUGAGGCUCAAGAGAGAAACUCUAUAUGCUAUUUGAUGAAAGUCAGAAAAAAGUAAAGAAAGAAAAGGCCAUCAUUGUGUCAUCUGAGUACAUUCCCUGCACGGACCUCCUGCCAUUGCUUUCUCUAAUAUCAGGUGCUCUUAUUCCUCCAGACUCUUCCCCCUAGGCCUUGGGCUCCUUAUUACAGUCUGUGUGUGCACAACAGCCGUGCAGCCCUCCUUUGUCCCAGCAUCUCACCAGGCUUGAUUUCUCAGUAAAGGGCUACAUCUUUUCUGAGCACACCUUUCGGAUCUAUUUUGAGAGAAUGUAGGAACGUCUCAGCUACUCAUUUGCUUUCAAAAGCUCAAAAAAGCUCCUUGCCAUUCGGAAUCAGGUCAGCUGCUGCUUCCAAAGGUGCUUCUGCUACGGGUUGCUCCGUGCCCCUGUACUUGGUGUGUGAGCAGCUGUGGGGCCUCCUACAGACCCCUAAACCCCACUAGUAAAGUGAGUCUGAAGUACAAAGACAAUCCUCCUGAAGAAAGCAGAGCCAAGAGAUGGUUUCUUCGGGGGAACCGCCAUUUGCUCUUUUAACACUUAAACAUUUCAAAAUUACUUGUCAUUUUCUAAAGCUUCUUAGCGUGCAAAAAGUCUAAAUGGCAAAGGCAUGAUUGUGAGUUUAGAUAGUUUUAUCACACCUUUUUUUUUUUUUCAUAGUUUCAAAAUGUGUGGGCAGUUUCAGAUGUGAAACUCCACCUCACAAAUGAGGAACCAGAGUCUGAUUCUUCAACAUCCAGGAGGGCAGCCAGGAUGCCCCAUCCCACAGUUUCCUUGUGGGCCAGGGUGAGUCAGAUUUGCUAAGACCCACUGUUAGGGACUGCACUAUGUCUCCCCAGAAUUAAUAUAUUGAAGUCCUAACCCCAAAGUGCUCAUAAUUUGACUCUAUUUGGACAUAGGGUUUUACAAUGAUGUCAUUAGGCUAGCCCCAAUACAAUGCAAUUGGUAUCUUUAUAAGAAGAGAUUAGGAUACAGCACACACAGAGGGAUAACCAUGUGAUGAAACAGGGAGAAGGCAGCUUUCUGCAAAACCAAGGAGAGAGGCCUCACCAGAAACCAGCCUUGCCCACACCUUGAUCUCAGACCUCCAGCCUCCCUCCAAAACGGUGCGAAAAUAAAUUUCUGUGGCUUAAGCCUGAACUCUUAAGAUCUUCAGAUCUUAAGAGUUCAGGCAAGCCAGAAGAAGUGUCUUAAUAAAUAUUCUUCUGAAAAGAGCGGCAAGCUGAUGCUUAGAGAAGAACAUACUUUAUAUAUGCAGCUUUGUACUCGGCAAUUCCCUUUGAAAGACUGCUUCAGUGGGGUAAACUUGAACCACUGAGAAGACGAGCAGGGAGUCGGUCUCGCUGAGAUUUUUACCUGUGGUUCUAGGAACGCAGAGGCAUGUGAGUGUUCAGGCUUUGCAUAGACCACUAAGCCACUUCUAAGAACAAGGCUACCUGAGCCAUUUUGCAAAAAUAUGUACAUGCUGAGGCUUUUCCUCUCCACACCUACCUCAACUCUUUCUGCCGACACACUGCACUUUUCAAGGGAACCUAAGUUUGGGUUCAGCAAGCAUUUUACAUGGCACGCCAUGUGUGAUAAUUCCAGGAAAUUUCAAUCGCAUCUUGUCUUCUUUCCUAAGCAAAUUCGGUGGGAACCUGGUGUGGUGUGAUAGAAAAAGCCCCGAGUUUUCUGUGGUAGACCACAUCAAUUUCAUGUGCCAGCCUCUUAGACUCCGGCUUGCCUCUCUCAAGGAAGGGAACAAUGGUUUGCUUGGGUUCACUCCUCUCUUUCCCCCCAUUUCCACACGGGUAUCUGGCUGAAAAUGAGUUACAGGUUUCCUUCUGUGAGAAUUGCAUGGGCUGAUAAAGUACCAUCCCGGGAAGAAAACAAAGAUGCUGUCUUCCCUUUCGGCUCCCAGUUGCCGUUGGGGAGGGAACACACGUUGUAAAUUAUAGGCAGCCAGAAGUGACCGCAUUGACCACUGCGAGUGGCCCAGCUAUGGCAACAGGCUGAGAACUCUGGGGGAGAGCCAUUUGUUGGCAGGGAUGGUGGUUCUUCUAGCAUCAGGCUCUAAGACGAUGACCAAACGGUACCAAAAGAAAUGAUAUUUUGCCACCUCUCUGGCUCCGGUGAAUGAUGUGGACAGCUAACCUGGACAAUUUAAACCUUUCUGUUGAUGGAUCACUUGGAUGAAAUUCACCAGGAAAUUGCCAAGAUUUCACCCGGCCCUCUGAUAGCAAAUCUCAAUAUUAUAUUAUCAAAUUAGAGAUUCUAAAGAACCCUGAGUUCCUUUCACUGAAAGGAAGGAGUGGAAAAACCUUUCCAGAUUAGCCCUUUUGAGUCUUGGUGUGAGCUCAGGCCCUCCCUACACUGCCCCCGUGAAAAAUAACCGACCUUCGUUCCUAAUCAAGGGCAGGUCAGCGGAGUGUCCACUGGGCAUAGGAGCCCUGGGCUUGUCUGGGAGACAGCGGCACUCCUGCUAUUUCCUGAUGUCUGCACGGGUCACCGUGUCCCUCACCAUCUUUGCUGUUGGCCAGUAAGGAGAGCCCAGGGGCCAGCACUGCACACUGAAAUCCAACCUAUUGCUCAAUGGAAUGCUUAAAAAUUUCCUGAAUCUGCCUUCCUGAGUUGAUAAAAUAGGAAACAAUACACGUUCCGAGGGGGUAUUGAAAGUGGAGUAAAGUCAGGAAGAUCUUUCUUUCUGUUAUUCAACAAAUAUUGCUUCCUCUGCUUGUUAGCAGCCCAGAGGAAAUGCAGCCAGGGAGCCGUUUGCAGCUCUUUACCAGUGGCCGGUGUGUCUGUGUUACCAACCGAACGACGCUGCAAGACUAGUGACUAAUGCAUGUCUGCAUGAUUCAACUUCACUAAAAUUCCCUCUGCUGCCAGUAAAGAAGCACUUGAAAACUCUUUAAUUUGAAACUUGAGCUGGUUAAUGACUUGCUUUCUUCUCUUUCCCUUUAAC